rnacentral:rRNA from 1 species
GACGAACGCUGGCGGCGUGCCUAAUACAUGCAAGUCGAACGCUUUUUCUUUCACCGGAGCUUGCUCCACCGAAAGAAAAAGAGUGGCGAACGGGUGAGUAACACGUGGGUAACCUGCCCAUCAGAAGGGGAUAACACUUGGAAACAGGUGCUAAUACCGUAUAACACUAUUUUCCGCAUGGAAGAAAGUUGAAAGGCGCUUUUGCGUCACUGAUGGAUGGACCCGCGGUGCAUUAGCUAGUUGGUGAGGUAACGGCUCACCAAGGCAACGAUGCAUAGCCGACCUGAGAGGGUGAUCGGCCACACUGGGACUGAGACACGGCCCAGACUCCUACGGGAGGCAGCAGUAGGGAAUCUUCGGCAAUGGACGGAAGUCUGACCGAGCAACGCCGCGUGAGUGAAGAAGGUUUUCGGAUCGUAAAACUCUGUUGUUAGAGAAGAACAAGGAUGAGAGUAAAAUGUUCAUCCCUUGACGGUAUCUAACCAGAAAGCCACGGCUAACUCCGUGCCAGCAGCCGCCGUAA